rnacentral:rRNA from 1 species
GACGAACGCUGGCGGCGUGCCUAAUACAUGCAAGUUGAGCGAUGAAGAUUGGUGCUUGCACCAAUUUGAAGAGCAGCGAACGGGUGAGUAACACGUGGGGAAUCUGCCUUUGAGCGGGGGACAACAUUUGGAAACGAAUGCUAAUACCGCAUAACAACUUUAAACAUAAGUUUUAAGUUUGAAAGAUGCAAUUGCAUCACUCAAAGAUGAUCCCGCGUUGUAUUAGCUAGUUGGUGAGGUAAAGGCUCACCAAGGCGAUGAUACAUAGCCGACCUGAGAGGGUGAUCGGCCACAUUGGGACUGAGACACGGCCCAAACUCCUACGGGAGGCAGCAGUAGGGAAUCUUCGGCAAUGGACGAAAGUCUGACCGAGCAACGCCGCGUGAGUGAAGAAGGGUUUCGGAUCGUAAAACUCUGUUGGUAGAGAAGAACGUUGGUGAGAGUGGAAAGCUCAUCAAGUGACGGUAACUACCCAGAAAGGGACGGCUAACUACGUG